rnacentral:rRNA from 1 species
GAUGAACGCUGGCGGCGCGCCUAACACAUGCAAGUCGAACGAUUAAAGCACCUUUUAGGUGUGUAUAAAGUGGCGAACGGCUGAGUAACACGUGGGCAACCUGCCCUCCUCUUGGGGAUAGCCUCGGGAAACCGAGGAUAAUACCCGAUACUUCACUUGAGCCGCAUGACUCAAGUGAGAAAGCUUUUGCGGAGAAGGAUGGGCCCGCGGCCUGUUAGCUUGUUGGUGGGGUAGAGGCCUACCAAGGCAAUGAUGGGUAGCUGGGUUGAGAGACCGACCAGCCAGAUUGGGACUGAGACACGGCCCAGACUCCUACGGGAGGCAGCAGUGGGGAAUCUUGCACAAUGGGCGAAAGCCUGAUGCAGCGACGCCGCGUGCGGGACGAAGGCCUUCGGGUUGUAAACCGCUUUCAGCAGGGACGAGGCGUAAGUGACGGUACCUGCAGAAGAAGCCCCGGCUAACUACGUGCCAGCAGCCGCGGUAAUACGUAGGGGGCAAGCGUUAUCCGGAUUCAUUGGGCGUAAAGCGCUCGUAGGCGGUCUGUUAGGUCGGGAGUUAAAUCCGGAGGCUCAACCUCCGCCCGCUCCCGAUACCGGCAGACUUGAGUUUGGUAGGGGAAGGUGGAAUUCCUAGUGUAGCGGUGGAAUGCGCAGAUAUUAGGAAGAACACCAGUGGCGAAGGCGGCCUUCUGGGCCAUAACUGACGCUGAGGAGCGAAAGCUAGGGGAGCAAACAGG